GGGGAUGACAUGGCUUCGACGAGGAGUUGGAUCUCAAGGACGCAUGCCGAGGAUAAAGAUAACUCGUAAAAAUAUGCUUUAAAAAUAUAGUUGCAAACGAAAACAACUACGCUCUAGCUGCAUAGCUAGCCGCUCCCUUGAGGUUGUCUGUACUUCUUGGGUAGCGGUCGCUCACAGACUCGCUAGGAUUAUUUGUUCCAAAUGAUUCGGUUAAAACUUUCGGAAAUCGCUUUGCAGAUCCCUGAUGGUCGGGUGCUGCGCGGCUAACUCAAGUUGACCAAGCUAAGCAUGUAGACUCUUUGUUUGAAGGUUUUCGGACGCGGGUUCGAUCCCCGCCAUCUCCACCA
rfam:Candidatus Thioglobus autotrophicus strain EF1, complete genome.